AUUGAACGCUGGCGGCAGGCCUAACACAUGCAAGUCGAACGGUAACAGGAAGAAGCUUGCUUCUUUGCUGACGAGUGGCGGACGGGUGAGUAAUGUCUGGGAAACUGCCUGAUGGAGGGGGAUAACUACUGGAAACGGUAGCUAAUACCGCAUAACGUCGCAAGACCAAAGAGGGGGACCUUCGGGCCUCUUGCCAUCGGAUGUGCCCAGAUGGGAUUAGCUAGUAGGUGGGGUAACGGCUCACCUAGGCGACGAUCCCUAGCUGGUCUGAGAGGAUGACCAGCCACACUGGAACUGAGACACGGUCCAGACUCCUACGGGAGGCAGCAGUGGGGAAUAUUGCACAAUGGGCGCAAGCCUGAUGCAGCCAUGCCGCGUGUAUGAAGAAGGCCUUCGGGUUGUAAAGUACUUUCAGCGGGGAGGAAGGGAGUAAAGUUAAUACCUUUGCGCAUUGACGUUACCCGCAGAAGAAGCACCGGCUAACUCCGUG
rnacentral:rRNA from 1 species